GGUUAAUGAGUAACAUUUUUGGCGGGAUUUUUUAAUAUAGAGUUCCUUUUUCAGUUUGGAAAAAAAAUACUUCUAGUGUUAGUGAAGAUUUUGCCAUCUAAUUCCAUGGGCUUCCCGCUCUAUCACAUUCUCUACCUCUUCAUGCUUCCCGUCUGGGCACAAGACAUAUUCCUGCAGCAUAUUUACCUUUUGAUUUUGAGUUUGGUUUGUUUUGAGCUUUUCACGGCCAUUAACAAGUUCUUGACUUUUGCAAUGUCAAGUCAAGCAGAUUCUUCACAUAGGAUAAAGCAUAAAAAUAACGAGACGGCUGUUUUGGGAGGAAAUGUGACUAUUUUCUGCAAUUUAACAACGGUAGCAGAUGUUGUGCAAAUUACCUGGCAGAAGAUCCAAGAUUCUUUGCCACAAAAUAUUGCCACUUACAGCAGUAAAAAUGGAGAGAAGAUCCUUCCGCCAUACACAGAUAGGCUGCGUUGCAAGAGCAUCGAACCCAGUUCCUCAUUCAUAACUAUUCUUGAAGUGACAUUUGAAGACGAAGCCUGCUACAAAUGUUUGUUUAAUGUGUUUCCACACGGCAGCCGUGGAGGACAAAUCUGCCUUAACAUUUUAACUGUAUCCGCAUUAAGAACAGAGCUCCAGCUGAAUCCCGAAGGUUUUCUUAAUGUUCUGUACUCAGCUGUGGGAAAACCUGCUCCUCAAAUCGCUCUUUUCCCAUCACAAGCCCUCGUUAAACCACCAGAGGAGCAGCUUGUUCUGAACGCCAAUGGCACGGUGACUGUCACUAAGACGUGCAUUGUCUCCUUGGAGACUCUGAGGUCCUUAGGAUUCCAACAUCUGAUUGUGCACCUAGAUCACCCUUUAAAGAAGGAAGAAAUUAUUGUUCCUCUGUCAGUAGGACAAGAAUGUACUUGUUGUUUACCUGUAGUUGGUGGAUUCAUAACACUUUUAUGCAUUUCAUUUAUUGGCGUGAUCAUAUUCUGCAUUGUUCAAAAAAGAAAGAAGAAACGGUGAGUUAUAUUCCUACUUGUUUGAGGUCAAAGAAUAAGGGUGAAUCAACUCAAGUCCCUCUGAGAUCAUAAUGAGCCAUUCACCUCAUUCACCCAGGACCUCUGCCACCAUCACCAUUUGAAUGACUGCUUUAAUUUCUAUUUUUCUGAGUAUUCAUAAAUGUGGAAAAUACUAUGGAGGCUCUUCCAAAAAGUAAAGAUGAAACUACCAUUAUGGGGUAUAUCAAAAAGAUAUGAAAUCAGUACGCCAGAGACAUCUACACUUCCAUGUUUAUUGUAGCUGUAUUCACAAUAGGCAAGAGAAGAAAACAACCUAAGUGCUCAUCAUUGGAAUGAAUGGAUAAAGAAAAUAUAUAUAUACAAUAGAAUACUAUUCAAUGUACAGAAAGGUGAAAUCUUGUCAUUUUCUAUCACAUGGAUGAUCCAAAAGAAAAUUAUGUAAAGUGAAAUGAAUUGAUGCAGAGGACAAAUAUUGAAUGAUUUCCCUUGUAUGUGGACCCUAAAACAGUUGAGCAUAUAGGAGUAGAAUAGUGGUUAUAAGACUAUGAGGGUAAGUUACAUUUAGAUAAGAGGAGCAAAUUCUGAUGAUCUAGUAUGGAGUAGAAUGACUAUUGUUAGAAUAAUGUAGUGUGUAAUUCAAAAUAACUGGAAGAGAGGAUUUUGAAUAACAAAUCUUUGAAAUGAUUCAUAUUCUAAUUAUCAUAAUUUCAUCAUUAAAUGAUGUAUAGAUGUAUCAAAACAUCAUAUUGUACUACAUGAAAUUGUGCAAUUAUGUGUGAAUUAAAUUUUUUGAAAUAA